rnacentral:lncRNA from 10 species
UCCCGUAAACUAGGUACUGAGUCAGGGGCUUUACAUAUAUCAUCUUAUUUAAUCUUCCAAACCGCUCAGAGAAGCAGGUGUUAUUAUUUCUAUUUUACAGGUUAGAAAAUGAUGCCUUAAGUAAUUUACCUUAGAUUCCACAGUUCAAAAGCGACAGAACUGGGAUAGAAACCAAAAUUUGAUUCCAAAAGCCUUUGUUGCUCUCCUUACACCUCACAGGUUUUCAUUGUUACGGGGGAGCUACAGGUGAGGCUUGAGACUCACCUAGGGCCUCUGAGCUGGUCCACAGCCCGGCUGCUGAUCAAACCCAGCCUCGCCCAGUUGAGCUGCUCUCCAUUCCAUGUUUGUUUUAGUUUUGCUCCUGCUUUUGCAAGGGAAGCCCAGUACUCAAGGAGACAGGGCACAGUUAAGAAAACCAAGUUCUUGGAACAGGCCCAGAUCUGUACCAGGCUCUGGGCUUGAACAUGACUGCAGAAAUGUCAGGAGUUGCUCCCGGAAUGGAUAAUUGAGUCCAGGGAGGUGACUCUUUCUCUGUGUGGAUUAACACAUGACUAUCUCCAUUGCCUCCCUGUGGCCCGUAGUGGUGAUGGUUGUCAGGAGUGCUGUGUGUCAAGAAGGACCAUUCUCAGCAAACUAACACAGGAACAGAAAACCAAACAUCGCGUGUUCUCACUGGUGACGGUUCUCAAACAUGACCCUGCAACAGAAUCACCUGAGGGUUAAAACUCAGAUUACCCUUCCCCAGCGUUUCUCAUUCAGGAUAUCUGGAUUAGAGCCCAAGAAACUGUUUAAGAAGUUUCAGGUGAGCUGAUGCGAAUUCAGAGACCCCACUUUGAGAACCAGCAGUCUAGGGGUGUUAGCCUGUAACUACCUUUCCUUUGCCACUUUUUUUUCAAUUGUGAUUUGUAUCUUCCUGCACUCACCUCCCAGCCCACCAGCCCAUACACCAAAAGAAAAAAAAAAAAAGAAAAAAAGACCAAACGACCCAGAAUACAGCUAGGCAGCUCAGGGGACAGGCGUAAACAGUUUUUUUGUUUGUUUUAUUUUUCCCAAGUCAGGCCUGCAUUUCAGCCCCUCACCUUCUGAGCUUAGGAAGGUCAGCUAGACACUCUGGCCUCUGUUUCUUCUGUAAAGGGGAAGAUUGUGAUAGAUGGGCUCAAAGGUGACUUCUGGCUGGAAGUUUCUAUGAUCUAUGACUGCUAUCAAAAGCUUCAAUGCUGCUACUAGAAAAUAAUCAUCAUCACUACUUGCUAAACACCUAAGGUGCCAGAAAGUGUGCUAAAUACUUUACCUGCCUGAUUGCAUUUCUAAAACUUACAGCAACUCCGGAGAGCAGGACUUCUUAUACCCAUUUCAUAGAUGAGGAAACUGAGGCACAGAGAAGCUAAAUGAUGUGACUAAGGGGACGAUGUCAAUGAUGUGAGAGCUGGGGAAUUGUAGGGGCCGUUGGAGCAUGGUAUGGGAAAGGAACAUGAACCUGAGAGGCACAUAUCUUUGAACUUUAUCAGAUUCAAGCUUCCUCACUCCCAGCUCUGUGGUUUUUGGACAGCUCACUUUAUUAUAUUUCUCUAACCUUAAGUUUCCUCCUGUAAAAUGGGGUAAUGUUAUCUGCCUUAUUGAGGUUGCUGAUAAACAUAAAAAAACUGAAUAUGAAAAGUGCCUGGCAUGAAGUUGACCCUCAGCUAAUUCUAGGUUUGAUCUGGGCAAUGUGGAAACUCAGCUGUGUUUUGGGGUGGAAGGCAGACCUGCACAUGGGAAGGAAGGUGGCUGAAUUUUCACCCUACUGAGACUUAUCCCUUGGUGGAGGAGGUGAGGGGCCUUCACCCAUGUCUGAGCAGCCAUCUGUAUUCUCUAGUAAGAAGGGUGAAUGCUCCCUGUUCUCAGCCUCCCAGAACCCAUGUUUAUCAUCAUGAAUUAAGCUGCAUAAAAUUCAGGAAGCUCCUGGGGUAGCCGAGAAUAUAAAAGUUGAGCUGGGAGGAAGUUAAGAUAGAUCUCUCUGCCUUUGCUGUAGAAACAGACGCUCUGCUCAAGGGAGAUUGUGCUAGGAAUUUGAAUCCCUGCAAAACACCGAGGCAUUUCAAGCCACAGAAGGCUAACGAGGGGGAUUUUUAGUAGAGGGAAUGAAUCCUGGGGGGAAAAGGAUGAAGUGGAGCCUUCCACGAUACACAGCACAGACAGGCUGAGUUACUGCUGG